rnacentral:sRNA from 1 species
AUGGCUGUCGUCAGCUCGUGCCGUGAGGUGUUGGGUUAAGUCCCGCAACGAGCGCAACCCCUGUCUUCAGUUACUAACGGGUCAAGCCGAGAACUCUGGGGAGACUGCCCAGGAGAACGGGGAGGAAGGUGGGGAUGACGUCAAGUCAGCAUGGCCUUUAUGCCUGGGGCUACACACGUGCUACAAUGGCCGGUACAAAGGGCUGCAAACCCGCAAGGGGGAGCGAAUCUCAAAAAACCGGCCUCAGUUCAGAUCGAGGUCUGCAACUCGACCUCGUGAAGGCGGAAUCGCUAGUAAUCCCGGAUCAGCACGCCGGGGUGAAUACGUUCCCGGGCCUUGUACACACCGCCCGUCACACCACGAAAGUUUGUUGUACCUGAAGUCGUUGGCGCCAACCGCAAGGAGGCAGACGCCCACGGUAUGACCGAUGAUUGGGGUGAAGUCGUAACAAGGUAGCCGUAGGGGAACCUGCGGCUGGAUCACCUCCUUUCUAAGGAGUAACUACUCCAAAGAAAAUCAUGGACUAAGGGCCACCUCUUCAAUACAUUUCGCACCAGACACGAGUGAGGGUUCCGGCGAUGAGUCCUCGCUACGCGAGAGCUCAGUCGCCAUGAUCAACGGGCCCUGGAAGCUUCAUGGCUCAGCUGGGCCUGUAGCUCAGUUGGUUAGAGCACGCGCUUGAUAAGCGCGGGGUCGAUAGUUCAACUCUAUCCAGGCCCACCACUGAGUUGUGAUCACGGGGUUCCCGAUGGGUGGAUUCGCAUGGACACUUAUUCGUACACGGUGCGGGGCUGUAGCUCAGUUGGGAGAGCACCUGCUUUGCAAGCAGGGGGUCGCUGGUUCGAUUCCAGUCAGCUCCACCAAGUGAAGACUAUGUUCGUGCUCAAUAUUCUCUAGUCAGUUGAUGCUGACGGUACAUGCCGUCAGUCAUGUUCUUUGACAAUUGAAUAGGUCUUGUUGAAAGACCAUGUGUGUCAGGAGCAAAGAAUGGAAUGAUUGUUAAGCUACUAAGGGUGUACGGUGAAUGCCCUGGCAUCAGCAGGCGAAGAAGGGCGUAGCUAGCUGCGAUAAGCCUCGGGGAGCCGCAAGCAGGCCGUGAUCCGAGGAUGUCCGAAUGGGGAAACCCGG